rnacentral:sRNA from 1 species
UUAACACAGUGGCUUUUGCCAUUCCGAUUCUGCUUGGAGGUCCGUAGUGUCCUGCAACUGCUGUUGAGGCAGCUGGUCUGGUCUUGGAGUCUUAGCAGCUCUGCUUGUCUGAGAGUCUUCUGUGCAGCAAUGGCUUGGUUCUUCUGAGAGGGACUCUCAGCUUUUCUUGGUUCUAAAGUGACCUGUACUUGGAAUCUGUCAUUGAAUCUCCCUUCCAUGUGUCUGGCCGAGCUUCCCCAUGAGCUGCAGGAAUGGGCACAAUGUAAAAGGUCCCGAGAAGAAUUUCUCUCCCCCACCAUCCAUCCACCUUGAAUCCUCAUCCACUAAGUAAAACAUGUUCUGCACAUAA